ACAUCAGCCGCCGCGGUAAUACAGAGGGUGCGAGCGUUAAUCGGAUUUACUGGGCGUAAAGCGUGCGUAGGCGGCUAAUUGAGUCGGAUGUGAAAUCCCCGAGCUUAACUUGGGAAUUGCAUUCGAUACUGGUUAGCUAGAGUGUGGGAGAGGAUGGUAGAAUUCCAGGUGUAGCGGUGAAAUGCGUAGAGAUCUGGAGGAAUACCGAUGGCGAAGGCAGCCAUCUGGCCUAACACUGACGCUGAGGUACGAAAGCAUGGGGAGCAAACAGGAUUAGAUACCCGUGUAGUCCCUGUCUCUUAUAC
rnacentral:rRNA from 1 species